AGGCGCAGGCGCGGAGGGGCGCGCCCGAACCCGAACCCUAAUGCCGUCAUAAGAGCCCUAGGGAGACCUUAGGGAACAAGCAUUAAACUGACACUCGAUUCUGUAGCCGGCUCUGCCAAGAGACAUGGCGUUGCGGUGAUAUGAGGGCAGGGGUCAUGGAAGAAAGCCUUCUGGUUUUAGACCCACAGGAAGAUCUGUGACGCGCUCUUGGGUAGAGCACACGUUGCUGGGCGUGCGCUUGAAAAGAGCCUAAGAAGAGGGGGCGUCUGGAAGGAACCGCAACGCCAAGGGAGGGUGUCCAGCCUUCCCGCUUCAACACCUGGACACUUUCAGGCAAGCCCAAGAAAGUCAGGGGCCUAUGUGAGCCAAAGAGGAGAGAAGGUGAUGCCUCAGCCCAGUGUUUCUGCCCCACCUCGCUUGUGGCCUUCGGAACUUGAUUUGCACCGCAGGAAAAUGGGCAAUGAAAACCCCUCCCUAACUGGCUUCUCAGUCCACUCUGACCAGCCCACUGCACAGCGCCCACCCUGCAGCUCCAGAUGAGGCCUCACUCUGUCACCCAGGUUGGGGUGGAGUGGCACAGUCACAGCUCACUAUAACCUCAAGCUCCUGGGCUCAAGUGAUCCUGCCACCUCAGCCUCCUAAGUAGCUGGAACUACAGAUGUGCACUGCCAUGCCAGGCUUGUCUAACAUUUUUAUGUGUUGCUUCAUCCAGUUUGCUAGAGUUUUUGGAGAUUUCUGUCUUCAUUCAUGAGGGAUAAUAGUCUGCACUUUUAUUUUCUUGUGAUAC
rnacentral:lncRNA from 1 species